GACGAACCGUGCGAACGUUGUUCGGAAUCACUGGGCUUAAAGGGCGCGUAGGCGGGUGGUCAAGUCAGGGGUGAAAUCUUUCAGCUCAACUGGAAAACAGCUUCUGAUACUGGCCGUCUUGAGGGGGUAGGGGCAUGUGGAACUUCCGGUGGAGCGGUGAAAUGCGUAGAUAUCGGAAGGAACGCCGGUGGCGAAAGCGACGUGCUGGACCCUUUCUGACGCUGAGGCGCGAAAGCCAGGGGAGCAAACGGG
rnacentral:rRNA from 1 species